ensembl:lncRNA
CUGAAUACAAAUGCAAUUUCAGCAGGUUUCAUGAAAAUAACUAAGGCUAGGGUCACAGGGAGCCUGGAGCCUAUCCCAGAGGACUCGGGGUACAAGGCGGGGGACAUCCUGGACGGGGUGCUAAUCCAUCGCAGAGCACAAUCACACACACUUACGGACAAUUUGGAAAGGCCAAUCAGUCUAAAUCGCAUGCCUUUGGACUGGGGGAGAAAACCGGAGUACCCAGAGGAAACCCCCAAAGCAUAGGGAGAACAUGCAAACUCCACACACACAGGGUUGAGACAAGAUUCAAACCCCCAACCCCUUUAGGUGUGAGGCAAACGUGCUAACCGCUAAGCCACCAUGCCCUCCAGAGCUGAUUAUAUACAUGUCAAAUAACAUUUUCACAGUAAUCUUUUAAUACUCAUGUUCACAAAGUGUCAAUGUCAAACAAAUGCCUUCCUUAAUUUGUUUAAUCAUAUUUUAUUGGCUACCAGCUGCUACGAUGAGAAGCAGAAUUCACCAGUAUCAUUAUCAUGCUUUAUUUCUGAAUAGAUCUUCUUACAAGGUAAGAUUUCAUUUCUGUUCUAUCACUAUUAGCAUGUAAUUUUAAGCAUUUCCAUUGGAACUGUCAUAAAUGCGUUUUAUUUCCUACGCCUAUAAAGGUUAUUCUCAGUUUAAAAAAAAAAAAUACAAAUUUAAUCCUUGACAAUCGUUGUCAACGAAUUGUUUUCCUGUAACUGCACACUCCCAAGUGUUAAUCUUCUAGAAAUAGCCGAGUGGAUAAAGAAAAGAGUUUCCGCGCAUCUUCAAAUCCUGGUUUGGAUGAAAGCUGCAGAAAAAUGAUGCAUUUGAACGACACCAUUUUUAGUGUAAAAAUAUAUAUUUGGAUAAGGAGUCAUAGACAGGAGGUCUUCUGUUGGAAAGUGUGAAUCUGUGACUGCCUGCAACAUGCAAAAAGUCCUAUCUCAAUUUACUCGAGCAGAAAGUCUCCUGAACGUAGUGGAGAAAAGGUCAGAACAAAUUCUGCUUCAAAGAACAGCUAAUUUAGCGCUGAGCUAUGGAUUGAACUGUCCCACAUCACAUCUGACUGGUCUUACAGUUGCCUCCUAAUCACUGAUUCUGCUACCAAAGACUGCUUUAAUGUUUCCUCAUUAAGCAAAGCAGUGAAAAUUAUUCUCAGUGGGCACUCACCACUUAUAGCUGUUUGAGAAAUUCAUGUAUAUUUAUUGGAACACUGUAGGAUCUGCGUAAUCUUCACUUCACUUAUACAUUUUCAAUUUCUGUGAUACUGUAAUAGCAUUUCCAUUAAACCGCAUCAAAUGAUAAUGCCAAUCAAAGUUUUUUUUAAAGCAUUGUCAUCUCGUAAGGCAUAACACCUGGUGU